CCUCAGCCUUUCGCAACUCACCUCUACUCCGCUGCCGUUCCUCCACCUCCGCCUAUCGUCCCUCCACCUCCGCCUGCCAUUCCUCCAUCUCCACAACGUAAAUCUAUUGUCCACAACAGGAAGUCUUCGCCGUCGCGCUUCGCCUGCUACAGUGUGUGUGCGGUGGGGGGACUAUUUUGUUCAAGAUCAAGGCAUUGUUCUGCUGAAAACUUGGAAUGCUUAUUUGCUUUUGAGAAGUUCCGAUUCUGUUGCUUUUAGGAGGUAACUUGUGGCAGAAAUGCAUUGCCAUUUUAUGCUGCUGUGAGAUUGAGAAUGAUUAGAAAAGAACUGCUCAGUGCUAAUGACGAGGUAAUGAUUCCAAGUUACAAUUUGUUAACAUUUUGGCCUAAGGGUAAAUUCUUAAUCCCUUAAGUUUAAUAUUUUUCAUUUCUGGUAAAUACCAUAAUUUUUGACAAUUUUGUACAAGGGAGAUUAACUGAUCAGUGUUGCCCAAGACUCCAGUUGUCUGCAAACCAUCUGAAGCUAGAUCAGUUUUGUACAUGGCAGAAAUUGCCACAUUGCAUCAUGUGGGGAGACGAUGCCAAGGCCCCAUGGUCUCCCUUGCGAAUCUUCGACGACAAAGGAUGCGAGCGACGAGUCCGACGAAGCCUGCGAGUGACGAGGGCACUAUUCCAGUCUCCAACGAACAACGGCUUGGCGACAGCCGACAUGUAUUUUUUUUUUGCUAAGAAGAAUGUGUGCUUGCUAAGAAGAAGAAACAACAUCCAUCCUUACAUGUGAUUUUUUCUUCUUUUUAACCUUGUGCAUGCAAUAGUUGAAUCUCUUCAGGAACAUCAUCCCCCUGUUUUUGAUACAUGUGAUUUGAUGAAGACAGAUGAUUUUUGCAGGCACACUUGUGUCGAAUUGCUAAUGAGCAAACUGCAAUCUGUAAAAGCUAGACAAAAAAUUGGUUGUAUUAAUAGACUUAGCAGGCUGGUGCAAAACAUGUUUAUGCUGUAGAAGCAUCUAAAAUGGUAGAAUAUGCCUGAAAGUUGAUUGCGGGCAAUCUAUUAUAUGCUGAAAGAAUUACAGUAAUAAAGGGAAAUGUUGAAGAUGUUGAGUUACCAGAGAAAGCAGAUAUUUUAAUUUCUGAGCCAAUGGGUAAACAUUUCGGUCACCAUUCUUUUACUAGAUGACAAUGUCUUUGAUGUCUUUAUGCUUGCGAUACCAAUUGUAGUUCAAGCCAAGACACUAGUAGAAAAGUUUUGUACAGGAAAAUUUUAUAAAGCAGUGUAUUUGUGGACAUUACGACUCUCCAUAGAAAUGAUGUGCACUGAAAAUGGGUUCUCUUCAAACAAGGCUGCUCUGUUAUCAUUGUUUGAACUCCUUAGGAAUGUUCUAAUGAAGGUUUCUAUAUCAAAAGCAGAAAACUUGUGGCUUAUGGCGCUCAAGGGGUUUUCAAGUCAUUAACAGAUUUUUGACAAACUGAUAGAUACUGCGGUGGCUUUAUUGGCUAAAGAUGGUGGAUUUCGCUCUCUUCAGCCAUUGUAAAUUAUGUUCUACAGAAGGAUGGACUUCGCAGUGCAAGAGAGAUGUACAGGAGGUAUGUUGUGACAUUUGAUGCAAUGAUAUUUUAGUACAUUCUAGAAUUCGAGUUUGACAUUUGCUUAUGACUUUUAAUUUGUCUGGAGGAGCAGAUAAUAAGCACUGCAAUUUUCUUGUUCCAGAUGUUAGAAUAUUGAGCUACUCUACGUUCCUAUCUAAAUGCAGAUUUAUCGCACAACUCUCAACGGUUUAGAGUUCAGGCUUAAAUUUGUGUAUGCUAACCACAGAAAUUUUGUUUUCUAUUCCCCUGUUGUUGAUGUUUUGAACAACUACCGAGUUCAAUAAAGGAUUCUUGGCCUUGUUGGGCAUUUUCUAAGUUUGAAUCCUCUCGAUGCAACACCGCCCAUCCAGGAGAUUGGUAUAGGAGGUAAAUUGCAGGGAAAAUGUCUCAACUAGCCAACAAUCUUGUACACUAAUGCCCACAAUGUCUUGUUAGCAAAGCAAAGUUUAUAAACUUAUUUUGAUUUAGUUGACCAGUUGACCCAUAGCUGACCCUGAAGAUAAGAAGCCAGAGGGGUAUAAUGACAUCCCCAACGAUAUUUUUGAUUCUAAUGCUAAGAAGUUGCAUUGCUUGGAGAAAAAUGGGAAACAAGUAACAAGAAUGGUUUCAUAUUGUGCAUACCACAGGGCUCCAAAUCCUGAUACCGUUUUAAUUAUACAGACGCCAAAAUGGGUCUUCUCUGCUAGAAGCCUUCUUCAGGCCAAGCGUACAGGUUCACGAUUAAUAUCAACAAACAGAUUGAAGCUUGAGGAAUCUCCAGGUGCUGAGGUUGAUGAAAUUGACCCAUUCUCAGCAGCUAGAUGCCGUGCUUUUAAACAACAGAGAAAUAAGGUAUACUAGAUUGAUAAUUUGACAUAAAAGUGAAAACAGAAAUGAAAUCUUUAAGCUCACUAAGAAAGGGAUUGAUGAUCUCUAUGUUUUAGCACCAAUUAUGAUCUAUUCUUGUCACUAUGUCAAAAUAAAGGAUAUAAACUUUCUGGUGAGUAGAUAUUAUGCUGAUGUUGCUUCAAAUUUAU